CAGCCGCCGCGGUAAUACGUAGGGGGCAAGCGUUAUCCGGAAUAACUGGGCGUAAAGGGUGCGCAGGUGGUUUAACAAGUUAGUGGUGAAAGGCAUAGGCUCAACCAAUGUAAGCCAUUAAAACUGUUUAACUUGAGUGCAGGAGAGGAAAGUGGAAUUCCUAGCGUAGCGGUGAAAUGCGUAGAUAUUAGGAGGAAUACCAGUGGCGAAGGCGACUUUCUGGACUGCAACUGACACUGAGGCACGAAAGCGUGGGGAGCAAAUGGGAUUAGAUACCCCGGUAGUCCCUGUCUCUUAUACA
rnacentral:rRNA from 1 species